rnacentral:rRNA from 1 species
GACGAACGCUGGCGGCGUGCUUAACACAUGCAAGUCGAACGGAAAGGCCCUGCUUGCAGGGUACUCGAGUGGCGAACGGGUGAGUAACACGUGGGUGAUCUGCCCUGCACUUCGGGAUAAGCCUGGGAAACUGGGUCUAAUACCGGAUAGGAGCCAUUUUUAGUGUGAUGGUUGGAAAGUUUUUUCGGUGUAGGAUGAGCUGGCGGCCUAUCAGCUUGUUGGUGGGGUAAUGGCCUACCAAGGCGGCGACGGGUAGCCGGCCUGAGAGGGUGGACGGCCACAUUGGGACUGAGAGGCGGCCCAGACGCCUACGAGAGGCAGCAGGGGGGAAUAUUGCACAAGGGGCGCAAGCCUGAUGCAGCGGCGCCGCGUGGGGGAUGACGGCCUUCGGGUUGUGAACUCCUUUCGCUAGGAACGAAGCUUUUUGUGACGGUACCUAGAGAAGAAGCACCGGCUAACUACGUG